GAUGAACGCUGGCGGCGUGCCUAAUACAUGCAAGUCGAGCGAACAGACGAGGAGCUUGCUCCUCUGACGUUAGCGGCGGACGGGUGAGUAACACGUGGAUAUCCUACCUAUAAGACUGGGAUAACUUCGGGAAACCGGAGCUAAUACCGGAUAAUAUAUUGAACCGCAUGGUUCAAUAGUGAAAGACGGUUUUGCUGUCACUUAUAGAUGGAUCCGCGCCGCAUUAGCUAGUUGGUAAGGUAACGGCUUACCAAGGCGACGAUGCGUAGCCGACCUGAGAGGGUGAUCGGCCACACUGGAACUGAGACACGGUCCAGACUCCUACGGGAGGCAGCAGUAGGGAAUCUUCCGCAAUGGGCGAAAGCUUGACGGAGCAACGCCGCGUGAGUGAUGAAGGUCUUCGGAUCGUAAAACUCUGUUAUUAGGGAAGAACAAAUGUGUAAGUAACUAUGCACGUCUUGACGGUACCUAAUCAGAAAGCCACGGCUAACUACGUG
rnacentral:rRNA from 1 species